AUUCUUGCGUUAGCAUCAGCUACUUGCCAUUCAUCUGAACAGUGGCUGACUGUUCAACAAUGGUUGUUGGGCAAGGACUGGUCAUUCUGAUCUUUCUUUUCACAGUGAACAACUGAUUCAGAACUGAAGCGCAAAAGGGGAAUCCGACUGUUUAAUUAAAACAAAGCAUUGUGAUGGCUUCUGAAUGUGUUGAUGCAAUGUGAUUUCUGCCCAGUGCUCUGAAUGUCAAGGUGAUGAAAUUCAAAUAAGCGCGGGUAAACGGCGGGAGUAACUAUGACUCUCUUAAGGUAGCCAAAUGCCUCGUCAUCUAAUUAGUGACGCGCAUGAAUGGAUUAACGAGAUUCCUACUGUCCUUACUUCCUAUUUAGCGAAACCACAGCCAAGGGAACGGGCUUGGGUUGAUCAGCGGGGAAAGAAGACCCUGUUGAGCUUGACUCUAGUCUGACAUUGUGAAAUGACUUAGGAGGUGUAGAAUAAGUGGGAGUGCUGUGCAAUCAUGAAAUACCACUACUCUUGAUGUUAUUUUACUUAUUCUGUGAUGCGGGUGCUUGCUGUGGCAAAUUGUUGUGUGAAUGUGAAUUGAAGUUUGUGUACCUGUGUGGAAAACAUAGUUAGGUAGGGAGUUUGGCUGGGGCGGCACAUCUGUUAAAUGAUAACGCAGGUGUCCUAAGGUAAGCUCAAUGAGAACAGAAAUYUUAUGUGGACUAAAAGGGGAAAAGCUUGCUUGAUUUUCAUUUUCAGUGCAAAUACGAACUGUGAAAACAUGGCCUAUCGAUCCUUUARACUUGARAACKGUCAGCUAGAGGUGUCAGAAAAGUUACCACAGGGAUAACUGGCUUGUGGCAGCC
rnacentral:rRNA from 1 species